rnacentral:rRNA from 1 species
AACGAACGCUGGCGGCGUGCCUAACACAUGCAAGUCGAACGGGAAUGUCGGGGCAACUCGACUAGUACCGUGGCGCACGGGUGAGUAAUACGUAGGUAACUUACCUUCCACAGGGGAACAACUUCGGGAAACCGAGGCUAAUACCGCAUACGUCUCAUCGUCGUAUUGGCGAUGAGGGAAAGGUGGCCUCUACACGUAAGCUAUCGGUGGAAGAUAGGCCUGCGCACCAUUAGCUAGUUGGUAGGGUAAUGGCCUACCAAGGCAACGAUGGUUAGCUGAUCUGAGAGGACGAUCAGCCACACUGGCACUGGAAUACGGGCCAGACUCCUACGGGUGGCUG